UGCCCCGGUGAGAAGGAAACUGAAGUUUCUGAUCCGUGCAUCGUUUCAAAAGCAAAAGGCACGCAGCCUUUGAAAGCAAUGAGGUUCCCCUCCGUCCCCUUCUUCCUUCCGAGUGACUACAGACUAACAGCGAAGGAGAGUGGGAGAGAGAAGUGGAGCAGGGCAAGAGUAAAGGUUGGCUUACACCACCAGAAGCUGGAUAAUCCACAAUGGCGGUCUGCAGGCUGGAGAGCUUCAAGAAUCAGUAGCUGCGCAGUCCAAGAGGCUGAAGCCCCAGAACUAGAGGGAUCAGCGGUGCUACCUUAGUCUGAGACUGAAGGCCUCUGGAAACUCCCUGGAGAAUCACUGGCAGAGUCCAAAGCUUUGGAAGCCUGAAGAAGCAAGAGUCUGAUAUCCUCAGACCAUGGCAGCAGCAAUCAUGAACCCCUUCAAGAAAAACUAAACUUGCACCUGUUGUUUG